UACAGAGGGGCAAGCGUUGUUCGGAAUUACUGGGCGUAAAGGGCGCGUAGGCGGCCUUCUAAGUCGAACGUGAAAUCCCCGGGCUCAACCCGGGAACUGCGUCCGAUACUGGAAGGCUUGAAUCCGGGAGAGGGAUGCGGAAUUCCAGGUGUAGCGGUGAAAUGCGUAGAUAUCUGGAGGAACACCGGUGGCGAAGGCGACAUCCUGGACCGGUAUUGACGCUGAGGCGCGAAAGCCAGGGGAGCAACGGG
rnacentral:rRNA from 1 species